rnacentral:rRNA from 1 species
UACGUAGGGUGCGAGCGUUGUCCGGAAUUAUUGGGCGUAAAGAGCUCGUAGGCGGUGUGUCACGUCGGCCGUGAAAACCUGCAGCUUAACUGUGGGCGUGCGGUCGAUACGGGCAGACUUGAGUUCGGUAGGGGAGACUGGAAUUCCUGGUGUAGCGGUGAAAUGCGCAGAUAUCAGGAGGAACACCGGUGGCGAAGGCGGGUCUCUGGGCCGAUACUGACGCUGAGGAGCGAAAGCGUGGGGAGCGAACAGG